rnacentral:rRNA from 1 species
CACGGAGGGAGCAAACGUUGUUCGGAAUCACUGGGCGUAAAGGGCGCGUAGGCGGCUUCCUAAGUCGGCGGUGAAAUCCUGUGGCUCAACCACAGGCCUGCCCCCGAAACUGGGGAGCUUGAGGCCGUGAGAGGAAAGCGGAAUUCCUGGUGUAUCGGUGAAAUGAGUUGAUAUCAGGAGGAACACCGGUGGCGAAGGCGGCUUUCUGGUGCGGUUCUGACGCUGAGGCGCGAAAGCAUGGGGAGCAAACGGGAUUAGAUACCCCCGUA